UACGUAGGGUGCGAGCGUUGUCCGGAAUUACUGGGCGUAAAGAGUUCGUAGGCGGUUUGUCGCGUCGUUCGUGAAAACUUGGGGCUUAACUCCAAGCGUGCGGGCGAUACGGGCAGACUUGAGUACUACAGGGGAGACUGGAAUUCCUGGUGUAGCGGUGAAAUGCGCAGAUAUCAGGAGGAACACCGGUGCGAAGGCGGGUCUCUGGGUAGUAACUGACGCUGAGGAACGAAAGCGUGGGUAGCGAACAGG
rnacentral:rRNA from 1 species